GGAGAAUCUUAGAUUUUCUUGAUGUUCUGUAAAUAGUCUGGCAAUGCAGCAACAGGACGUUGCUGCAAGCAAAAGCCGUGACAUGGAUGUUGCGUCUUUUGCGGUUGCCGGAAAAAAGAGCAUUUUGGCAGAACAUUUAGAAAAUAUUAGAUUCGGA
rnacentral:ncRNA from 1 species